UGAGUUCUCCCUGAGACUUUAAGUCUCCUGAAGGAACGUUGAAGACGACGACGUUGAUAGGCCGGGUGUGUAAGCGCAGCGAUGCGUUGAGCUAACCGGUACUAAUGAACCGUGAGGCUUAACCUUACAACGCCGAAG
rnacentral:rRNA from 5 species